rnacentral:rRNA from 1 species
CCCUUAGAUGUUCUGGGCCGCACGCGCGCUACACUGGUACGUUCAACAAGUUUACAACCUUGAUCGAUAGGUCUGGGUAAUCUUUUUAAUGCGUACCGUGCUAGGGAUAGAUUAUUGCAAUUAUUAAUCUUGAACGAGGAAUUCCUAGUAAACGCAAGUCAUCAGCUUGCAUUGAUUACGUCCCUGCCCUUUGUACACACCGCCCGUCGCACCUACUGAUUGAAUGACUCGGUGAAAAAUUGGGACCGUGAGAACAAUCGAUUCAGUUCGAAUGUACUCGUGGAAACUUUUUUUAACCUCGCCAUUUAGAAGAAGGUGAAGUCGUAACA